rnacentral:misc_RNA from 1 species
UACGGAGGGUGCAAGCGUUGUUCGGAAUUACUGGGCGUAAAGGGCGCGUAGGCGGCCCGUUAAGUCUGAUGUGAAAGCCCUCGGCUCAACCGAGGAAGUGCAUUGGAUACUGGCGGGCUCGAGUGUGAGAGGGGAGCAUGGAAUUCCUGGUGUAGCGGUGAAAUGCGUAGAUAUCAGGAGGAACACCGGUGGCGAAGGCGGUGCUCUGGAUCACAACUGACGCUGAGGCGCGAAAGCAUGGGGAGCAAACAGG